UAACCGACUUCCUGUUGGGAUCCGGAUUUCGUACCAAGAGACUUUUUUGUAGGUAUUGGAGUGUUACAUGUGUGUACCAAUUUUUGUACAUGUACGUGAAACAUAGCUCGAGGCGCACUCCGUUGAAAGUGUAUAGGUGGCGCUAUAGAGCCAUUCUGCCACACCCGGUGGAAUAUUGGCCUGCAGAUCUGUUCAGGUCAGGACUCUUAUCACACAUGUGAAGUUUGGGGAAGAUCGGACAUUUUAUGCCUGAGUUAUAACAUCUUUUAUUCCCAUGGCGAGACAUCGAACUUCGUCGCGGCGCCAUGAACAAGCCUUUUAACGAAAACUCAAGAUCUUCACAAAUGAACAUCGCACAGGCCUUUAGAUUAGACUGACCACAAAAAAGACAUUGAUGUCAUAAAAUUUCUAGGAGUAGUUCGUCGCAGCGUAAAAUAUGUCACUUCCUGUUGCCAAUAGGUGGCGCUAUGACUAUAACUGAAUAUGGGCAUGUCAAUCUGUUCAGGUUCGGAAUCUCAUCAAACAUGUGAAGUUUGGGGCAGAUUGGACAUUGUAUGUGUGAGUUAUAGCAACUUCAUUUUUCAUGGCGAAUCAUCGAAAUUCGCCAGGCCGCCACGGACACGCCCUUCAACGAAAACUCAAGAUCUUCGCAAUUUAACAUCGCAAAGGCCUUUAGAUUAGGCAUACCAAAUUUGGUGUUGAUUUGAAGAAAUCUCUAGGAGGAGUUCGUUAAAAUGCAACACAUGGAAAUGACCAAAAUUACACAAAAUAUGCUCAUAAUAUUAAAAAUAACCGACUUCCUGUUGGGUUUAGAAUUUCGCUCCAAGAGUCUUUUUUGUAGGUAUUGGUGUGUUACAUAUGUGUGCCAAUUUUCGUGCAUGUACGUGAAACAUAGCUGGAAGGCUGUUGAUUUUCUUGGUAUAGGUGGCGCUGUCGAGCCAUUUUGCCACACCCUCUUCUGAAUCCUAUAUCAGACGAAAAUUUUCACCAGGUUUGACGCGUGUGCAAAGUUUCAUGACUUUUUGAGCAUGUUAAAGCCCUCAAAAAUGCGAUUCAUUCGGGAGAAGAAGAAGAAGAAUAAUAAUAAUAAUAAUAAAAAACAAAGCAGAUACAAGAGGGUCCUCGCACCUCGGUGCUCGGGCCCUAAUUAAAGCUGCAAGCAGCGAUGAACGGGCCCUCGCACCCGGGCUCACCGGCAGCGAGUGGCUUUAGUUAAUAGGUGAACGGUGAGAAAUAUGCGUUUAAACUCAUAAAUAUAAGUAGAAUAUAUCAAUGUUUAUUCCAUAUAUGUGCCAAUCUUCCUGUUGCCAGCAGGUGGCGCUAUCAUUAUAAUGGAAUAUUGGCCUUCAGAUGUGUUCAGGGCAGGACUUUUAUCGAACAUGUGAGGUUUGGGGAGGAUUGGACACUUUAUGCCUGCGUUACAACAACAUCCUAUUUCAUGGCGAAACAAUGAAAUUUGUCAGGCCGCCAUGGACACGCCCUUUAACGAAACCUCAAGAUCUUCGCAAUUUAAGAUCGCAAAAGGCUUUAGAUUACACUGACCAAGUUUGGUGUUGAUCUGAAUAAAUAUCUAGGAGGAGUUCGUUAAAGUACAACCCCUGAAAAUGGCCAAAACAACACUAAUUUUGCAGAGAAAAUUCCAAAUAACUGACUUCCUGUUGGGAUUCGGACUUCGUACCAAGAGACUUUUUCGUAGAUAUUGGUGUGUUACAUGUGUGUACCGAUUCUUGUACAUGUACGUGAAACAUAGCUCAAGGCGCACUCCGUUUAAAGUGUAUACGCACUCCGUUGAAAGUGUAUAGGUGGCGCUAUCGAGCCAUUUUGCCACACUCGAUGGAAUAUUGGCCUUCAGAUCUGUUCAGGCCAGGACCCUUAUCACACAAGUGAAGUUUGGGCAAGAUCGGACAUUUUAUGCCUGAGUUAUAACAUCUUUUAUUCCCAUGGUGAGACAUCGAACUUCAUCACGGCGCCAUGGACACACCUUUUAACAAAAACUCAAGAUCUUCACAACUAAACAU